rnacentral:rRNA from 1 species
GAAGCCGGAAUUGCUAGUAAUGGCAGGUCAGCAUACUGCCGUGAAUACGUUCCCGGGCCUCGUACACACCGCCCGUCACACCAUGAGAGUUGGGAAUACCCGAAGCCUGUGAGCUAACGUUAAGAGGCAGCAGUCGAAGGUAGAAUCAAUGAUUGGGGUGAAGUCGUAACAAGGUAUC